CGGUUUGCGAUAAUAGCCAUAAUAGACACAGCUAAUACAACAACUCUCUUUCGCUUCUUUCUCUUCCUUUUAAUUUCCUCCUCGUUAGUAUAUUGAGUUGAUAUCUAGAACACGUAAUUUAUAUGCAAUUAGACAUGAUAGUUGAAAGCAAAACGCUCUACUCAAGAAUAAAAACACUACUAGUAGGAGCACAAGGUGGAAUAGGAGAAGUACCGAUGUAGCCAUGGAGAUUGAAGGGUUUGUUGGAGGUAGCUAAAUGAAACUUGAGGCGGCAAAUCCCAAAACAACGAGCUGUUUUAACACUCCUGCAAAUGAAUCUAUGGCAAAUGGAUUAUAUAAUCUAGGCAGAUUAUAUAAUUGGCUAGAGAUCAACUGAUUAAGGCGCUGCAAGGUUAAAUAAAUUCACCAUAGCAUAAAGGCGGUUCUUUAACCAUCAGACAAAACAUGGUAAUACAAUGACAAAUAACACAAGCAAAAAAAAUUAAACAAGAGCUUCCUAGCUUGCAGAGCCCUAUACCCCCCAGGCGUCGUUAACGUUAGCCAGCAUUUCUUCCACUGCUCAGAAUCAUGCGAUGCGGCUAAAAUGACUAAAAGAAGCAGGGGAGGUAAAAUGACUAAAAGAAGCAGCAAGAAAAAACAAUGCGAUGUGGCUAAUCAUGCGAUACGGCUAAUCAUGAAAUAGAUAAUAAAUAGAUAAUGAAAUAGAUAAUAAUUAUGAAGCAAGAAGCAGCAAGCAAGCUAGAAACAGAAGCUCAUCAGCGCCCAAGCAAGAUCUGGAGCCACGUGACUACAUACGCAGUAACGCAGACCAGAUCAGAUCAGAGCAUCCUGUUGAGGAGCAGAGCGGUGGCGACAGAAUCGUGGACAGACCUUGAAGCCAUUUGUCUACUCAAAACAGGGUAUCCAAGCCACCGUCGACCACAAAUGAGACCGAUGUCUUGAGCAUGGCCUCCUGAGCGACGAACCGGCGGCAAUGGCUGCCCCAGAAGAAACGCACGACGACGACGAACCGGCGGGUGAUCUCAAGGAGUACGAGCUGCUCCGGGCUGCCGGGGUGCCCCUCCACCUGACGGGCGCCGAGCUGACCGAGUCCGCUGCGGGCUACGAGCGGUCGUGGUGCUAUGACCCCUACAUGCGACCCCUACAUCACGGGCUACGAGCGGCCACAGAGGGAGACGAACCUCGUCGUCGUCGAUGCCGUCGUCGGCCAGAACAGUCCCGCUGACGCUGCCGCCGCCGCCGUGGUGCUCGAGGCACGGGCAGUGAAACCUAGCGCACUUUCUAAACCUUUCCGACGGGUGAGAGUCUGAAACGUGCAUAGGCUAAAAUUUCAGGGAUUGGAAAUGGGCUGAAAUGGUGAAUUGAAUUCUAUGGACAACCAAACGGGCCGAGAAAUGGAAACUGAUUCAAUUCAGACCAAUUCCUG
rnacentral:lncRNA from 1 species